GACGAACGCUGGCGGCGUGCUUAACACAUGCAAGUCGAGCGGUAAGGCCUUUCGGGGUACACGAGCGGCGAACGGGUGAGUAACACGUGGGUGAUCUGCCCUGCACUUCGGGAUAAGCCUGGGAAACUGGGUCUAAUACCGGAUAUGACCUCCUAUCGCAUGGUGGGUGGUGGAAAGAUUUAUCGGUGCAGGAUGGGCCCGCGGCCUAUCAGCUUGUUGGUGGGGUAAUGGCCUACCAAGGCGACGACGGGUAGCCGACCUGAGAGGGUGACCGGCCACACUGGGACUGAGACACGGCGCAGAAUGCUACGGGAGGCAGCAGGGGGGAAUAUUGCACAAUGGGCGAAAGCCUGAUGCAGCGACGCCGCGUGAGGGAUGACGGCCUUCGGGUUGUAAACAUAUGUCAGCAGGGACGAAGAGCAAGUGACGGUACCUGAAGAAGAAGCACCGGCUAACUACGUG
rnacentral:rRNA from 1 species